AUGGGAGUGUGACCAGGAGAGUAGUUGCUCCUCACCAGUGGAUGGUGGAUGGUGGAUGGUAGCGCUCGGGAGAAGUGGGGGGCUUUAAAGACAUGGGAGGUCCGAUGGGUUUUAUAGAGGAAGGAUUUGGAGGAGUAUAGGAAGAGAGGCAAGGAAGUGAGGUAGAGACAAACCUUAUGAUAUAGAGGUAAUGGAGGACCAGAGAGAAGGGGGAG
rnacentral:lncRNA from 1 species